rnacentral:lncRNA from 12 species
GUGUGACUUGAUAGGAUCCAGUGAGGUUGGUGCAGGAUCUCUGGGAAAGGCUCAUCUCCUCGAUGAAGUGAUAUGUGUGCUGACAUCUGCAUUAACUGGGUUAAGGGGUGGGUGGAGGGGGGUGAGGUAGAAGAAAGGUCCCGAAGAGAGAAGGAGCAUGGUCCCCUUAUGGAAUGGAAACGAGGUCAGCGAGGCUGGAGCUGAGAGUCAAGAGGGGACGCAGGAAAAGGAUAUUCUGUGCUGAGGAAAUAGAUACAGAAAAGAGCGUAGCUUGCCCUGAGAAUUACGGGUAAUUGCAUUUGCUAUGGGCUUCCAAUACCUAAGGAGGAAAAGUGGAAGUUUUUGAGGGAAAAGUAGGUUGAAUUUAUGGAGAGGUGGAGUUGACAGGUUAAGUAAUCUGGGCUAAGGCACCGCGGGUUAAAGAGAGAGUCAGAAAAGUUACUGACCUUGGAGCCUGCUUUUACAUUUGUUGCCAGGUGAGGAGAUUAAAAAAAAAAAAAAAAGGAAAGGAUUUUUUUUUUAAUUUCACUUGUAAGAGGGACACAAUGUGUGCAGACAGCUGGAUGACUCUCUGCACUGAUAUUACCACACAUUUUGUGGGUCCUUUUAUGUGGCUAGUUGCAAAAAUGUGUGAGGAAUGGAAGCUUAGACUCUCCCUUUUCAUCACUGAUGCCGUUUGUUGUUGCUUUCUGCCUUUUUUUCUUCCUUGAGGUGUCACCCAGGCAGUACAAAGUGACAUGGGGAAAAAUAAAAGCAUCUCUUUUUCAUAGUUGGGUUAUAGUAACAGAUGGUCAUGUUCGCUCGGCAAAGACAAAUAGCUCAAGUGAUAAACACCACAGGUUUGAGAGGUGGAGGAGAAAGACUUUUGCCAGGAUCCCCAUUCAUAGCUGGCUCUGGAAAGAACAAUCUGCUUUUACAGGUUUUAGCCCCUCAAAAAGAGGGACAGUGGGACGCCACUGCGGAGAGGAAGGGAACCCCAACAGAGAGGGUCGUGUCUGUCAUCCUGCAUUGAGUUGUGAUGAAUGCCUAGCACGGUCCCGCUCCUCCUUCCUCACCAGGUGGGUGUGGCCUUGGGGCUCUUCUCUGAGAGGGACAGUCAUUCAGGGAGUCAUCACCCACGAUGUGUCUCCAAGCAGGAAGCGAGCAGAAGGAUGAGCUAUCGACGGGAGGCAAUGAUGAACAUCUAUCUUUUGUGUUCUUGGUCAUGAAGAGGUCAAGGUGGCCGGGAGAGAAUUCUGUGAGGUGAAUUGUAGGAUGAAAUUGUACACUUAAAAAUAGAUCAGGAGAUAGAGGGAGAAACCCGGAAAGUGACCUGCUGCAUCACUUCCCUUCCUCGUUCCCUCUGCUCUUCCUGGACCCGUCCCUCCACACUCUCAUCACCUCCUUACUCAUCUGUCUCCUGAUACAAGACUGUGAGCUCCUUAGGAAAGGAGGAGUCUGACUUUUCUAAUCAGUGUACCCGUAGCCCCUAGCAGAGUACUCAGUGUUUCUUAAUAGAUGCUUAAUACUUUUUAAGUGAUCCAAAUUGUGACCAACCUUUGGGAUUGGAG